GAACUGUUGAAGAGUCCCACAAUAAGAUGAAACGGCCGUCUAGUGC
rnacentral:hammerhead_ribozyme from 1 species